UGAAAUAAAUCUCCUCUCUCUGCUUUGUGU
rnacentral:piRNA from 1 species